rnacentral:rRNA from 1 species
UACGGAGGAUCCAAGCGUUAUCCGGAAUCAUUGGGUUUAAAGGGUCUGUAGGCGGUUUGGUAAGUCAGUGGUGAAAGCCUCCAGCUCAACUGGAGAACUGCCAUUGAUACUGCCGGGCUUGAGUACAGACGAGGUUGGCGGAAUUGAUUGUGUAGCGGUGAAAUGCAUAGAUACAAUCAAGAACUCCGAUUGCGUAGGCAGCUAACUAGGCUGUAACUGACGCUGAGGCACGAAAGCGUGGGGAGCGAACAGG